UCCUUGGAUUCUUGAAUCCUGUUUGUUCUUCUCGCUCAGUUUUUAUUUUAGAUGCUGGAUGAUGUUUUCAUUUGGAGGUAAAUUUUGUAAAUGUUGGGCCCAUUUUAUGGUGAUCCAGAUUAUGCAUACCCUCCCAGUCGAGCAACUGGAGCCAUCCGAUGAUUGGAUUUCUAAUGGACAGUUGAACAGAAAGUAAUCCCAAAGGCAAAACUCUGCCUGCUGGAUUUCCAAGAUUUAUUGAUGGGAGUGAGGCCUAGCAGAUGAACGAUUUGAUCACUGGAAAAUGAGUUUUAUGUGUACAAAACCCGGAUCCUAAUGAAAAAAAGCCAGUAGUUUGUUCCCAACAUCUUGCAUUUCCCUGUUAUCUUAUUAGGAAGAUAUUUAUGGAUUGCUUUCACAGACUGCUAGUUCUUUCAUUUUGUCUCUUGCAUAAGAGGUUUCUGGUUUGCAUCUUGGCUCUCCAUGUAUUUGAAGUCAGGUGUAUAUGACGCAGUGGCAUCUUGUAAUUAUUUCUAGUUGAUUGAAUUGGUAUUUGAAUUUGAUCGUA